rnacentral:rRNA from 1 species
CACGUAGGGCGCAAGCGUUGUCCGGAAUUAUUGGGCGUAAAGAGCUCGUAGGCGGUCUGUUGCGUCCGCUGUGAAAACUCGGGGCUUAACCCCGAGCCUGCAGUGGAUACGGGCAGACUAGAGGUAGGUAGGGGAGAAUGGAAUUCCCGGUGUAGCGGUGAAAUGCGCAGAUAUCGGGAGGAACACCGGUGGCGAAGGCAGUUCUCUGGGCCUUACCUGACGCUGAGGAGCGAAAGCGUGGGGAGCGAACAGG